UACGGGGGGAGCAAGCGUUGUUCGGAGUUAUUGGGCGUAAAGGGCGUACAGGCGGCGAUGUAAGUCAGAUGUGAAAUGUUCCGGCUCAACCGGGACCCUGCAUUUGAUACUGCAUCACUUGAGUACAGGAGAGGAGAGCGGAAUUCCCGGUGUAGCGGUGGAAUGUGUAGAUAUCGGGAAGAACACCAGUGGCGAAGGCGGCUCUCUGGCCUGAUACUGACGCUGACGCGCGAAAGCUAGGGAAGCAAACAGGAUUAGAUACCCUGGUAGUCCUAGCCGUAAACGUUGGGUACUAGGUGUUGGAGGUAUCGACCCCUUCAGUGCCGAAGCUAACGCAUUAAGUACCCCGCCUGGGGAGUACGGCCGCAAGGUUG
rnacentral:rRNA from 1 species